rnacentral:rRNA from 1 species
GACGAAGGAUGCAAGCGUUAUCCGGAUUCAUUGGGUUUAAAGGGAGCGUAGGUGGCCUUAUAAGUCAGUGGUGAAAUCUCUCAGCUUAACUGAGAAAUUGCCAUUGAUGCUGUAGGGCUUGAGUACAGAUGCCGUUGGCGGAAUAUGACAUGUAGUGGUGAAAUACAUAGAGAUGUCAUAGAACACCGAUUGCGAAGGCAGCUGACGAAACUGUAACUGACACUGAGGCUCGAAAGUGCGGGGAUCAAACAGG